UACGAAGGGGGCUAGCGUUGCUCGGAAUCACUGGGCGUAAAGGGCGCGUAGGCGGCCAUUCAAGUCAGAGGUGAAAGCCCAAGGCUCAACCUUGGAAUUGCCUUUGAUACUGUUUGGCUUGAGACCGGAAGAGGUUAGUGGAACUGCGAGUGUAGAGGUGAAAUUCGUAGAUAUUCGCAAGAACACCGGUGGCGAAGGCGGCUUUCUGGACAGAUACCGGACGCUGAGGCACGAAAGCUAGGGGAGCAAA
rnacentral:rRNA from 1 species